rnacentral:rRNA from 1 species
GAUGAACGCUGGCGGCGUGCCUAAUACAUGCAAGUCGAGCGAACAGAUGAGGAGCUUGCUCCUCUGACGUUAGCGGCGGACGGGUGAGUAACACGUGGAUAACCUACCUAUAAGACUGGGAUAACUUCGGGAAACCGGAGCUAAUACCGGAUAAUAUAUUGAACCGCAUGGUUCAAUAGUGAAAGACGGUUUUGCUGUCACUUAUAGAUGGAUCCGCGCUGCAUUAGCUAGUUGGUAAGGUAACGGCUUACCAAGGCAACGAUGCAUAGCCGACCUGAGAGGGUGAUCGGCCACACUGGAACUGAGACACGGUCCAGACUCCUACGGGAGGCAGCAGUAGGGAAUCUUCCGCAAUGGGCGAAAGCCUGACGGAGCAACGCCGCGUGAGUGAUGAAGGUCUUCGGAUCGUAAAACUCUGUUAUUAGGGAAGAACAAAUGUGUAAGUAACUAUGCACGUCUUGACGGUACCUAAUCAGAAAGCCACGGCUAACUACGUG